rnacentral:rRNA from 1 species
AUUGAACGCUGGCGGCAGGCCUAACACAUGCAAGUCGAACGGUAACAGGAAACAGCUUGCUGUUUCGCUGACGAGUGGCGGACGGGUGAGUAAUGUCUGGGAAACUGCCUGAUGGAGGGGGAUAACUACUGGAAACGGUAGCUAAUACCGCAUAACGUCGCAAGACCAAAGAGGGGGACCUUCGGGCCUCUUGCCAUCGGAUGUGCCCAGAUGGGAUUAGCUAGUAGGUGGGGUAACGGCUCACCUAGGCGACGAUCCCUAGCUGGUCUGAGAGGAUGACCAGCCACACUGGAACUGAGACACGGUCCAGACUCCUACGGGAGGCAGCAGUGGGGAAUAUUGCACAAUGGGCGCAAGCCUGAUGCAGCCAUGCCGCGUGUAUGAAGAAGGCCUUCGGGUUGUAAAGUACUUUCACCGGGGAUGAAGGGAGUAAAGUUAAUACCUUUGCUCAUUGACGUUACCCGCAGAAGAAGCACCGGCUAACUCCGUG